ACCAAGCAAAUGGGCCUCGAUCCCAC
rnacentral:tRNA from 1 species